CAGAGCAUCAGAGGAGUACAAGCGAGAGCAGCCAGGCUUACCUUCCCUGCCCUGUUGAGACAGGCAGCUCUCCGCAUUGCCCUCACCAUCCACGCUGCUCUCGGCUGACUCUUCUUCCUGUGUGGGGCCCGACGGGUGGUGUGCCAUAAAGAAGCAAUCUUAUUCACCAUCUACAAGUUUUUGAAGUUCAACGUCACUUUGAAGUUCAGAGACAACUUUGCAAACCUUGAAUACGCCCAGUGCUGUAGAGCACACAGCCUUUAGUGUACGCAGUAAACGGCAUGCAAACCCAGGAAAUGAACUGCAUCAAGAAUGGAGCCAUUUCCUUCUCUCUCCAGGCGGCCUGGUUGGUACGACUUGAAGAAAAAGCAAGCUGUGGGGCUGGAGAGAUGACUCAGUGGUUAGGAGCAAUUCCUGUUCUCACAGAAACCCUGAGUUUGGUUCCCAGCAUCCACACGAUGGCUUAUAAGUCCAGAUCCAGGGGAUCUGAUGCUCUCUUCUGACCUCUGAGGGGACCAUGCAGGGCAUGCACGUGGUAUGCACGCAUGCAUACAGGCAAAACACUCAUACGCAGAAAAUAAUAAACCUAAAAAUUUUUAAAUAAAA